rnacentral:rRNA from 1 species
GAUGAGCGCUGGCGGCGUGCCUAAUACAUGCAAGUCGAGCGAACAGACGAGGAGCUUGCUCCUCUGACGUUAGCGGCGGACGGGUGAGUAACACGUGGAUAACCUACCUAUAAGACUGGGAUAACUUCGGGAAACCGGAGCUAAUACCGGAUAAUAUAUUGAACCGCAUGGUUCAAUAGUGAAAGACGGUUUUGCUGUCACUUAUAGAUGGAUCCGCGCCGCAUUAGCUAGUUGGUAAGGUAACGGCCUACCAAGGCAACGAUGCGUAGCCGACCUGAGAGGGUGAUAGGCCACACUGGAACUGAGACACGGUCCAGACUCCUACGGGAGGCAGCAGUAGGGAAUCUUCCGCAAUGGGCGAAAGCCUGACGGAGCAACGCCGCGUGAGUGAUGAAGGUCUUCGGAUCGUAAAACUCUGUUAUUAGGGAAGAACAAAUGUGUAAGUAACUAUGCACGUCUUGACGGUACCUAAUAAGAAAGCCACGGCUAACUACGUG